rnacentral:rRNA from 1 species
UACGUAGGGUGCGAGCGUUGUCCGGAAUUAUUGGGCGUAAAGGGCUCGUAGGCGGUGUGUCGCGUCGGCCGUGAAAACCUGCAGCUUAACUGUGGGCUUGCGGUCGAUACGGGCAUCACUGGAGUUCGGCAGGGGAGACUGGAAUUCCUGGUGUAGCGGUGAAAUGCGCAGAUAUCAGGAGGAACACCGGUGGCGAAGGCGGUUCUCUGGGCCUGUACUGACGCUGAGGAACGAAAGCGUGGGGAGCGAACAGG